CGUGUAGGCGGUCCUGUAAGUCAGAUGUGAAAUCCCGGGGCUCAACCCCGGAACUGCAUUUGAAACUGUAGGACUUGAGUAUGGGAGAGGGAAGUGGAAUUCCUGGUGUAGAGGUGAAAUUCGUAGAUAUCAGGAGGAACACCGGUGGCGAAGGCGACUUCCUGGACCAAUACUGACGCUGAGGCGCGAAGGCGUGGGGAGCAAACA
rnacentral:rRNA from 1 species